GAUGAACGCUGGCGGCGUGCCUAAUACAUGCAAGUCGAGCGAACAGACGAGGAGCUUGCUCCUCUGACGUUAGCGGCGGACGGGUGAGUAACACGUGGAUAACCUACCUAUAAGACUGGGAUAACUUCGGGAAACCGGAGCUAAUACCGGAUAAUAUAUUGAACCGCAUGGUUCAAUAGUGAAAGACGGUUUUGCUGUCACUUAUAGAUGGCUCCGCGCCGCAUUAGCUAGUUGUUAAGGUAACGGCUUACCAAGGCGACGAUGCGUAGCCGACCUGAGCGGGUGAUCGGCCACACUGGAACUGGGACACGGUCCAGACUCCUACGGGAGGCCGCAGUAGGGAAUCUUCCGCAAUGGGCGAAAGCCUGACGGAGCAACGCCGCGUGAGUGAUGAAGGUCUUCGGAUCGUAAAACUCUGUUAUUAGGGAAGAACAAAUGUGUAAGUAACUAUGCACGUCUUGACGGUACCUAAUCAGAAAGCCACGGCUAACUACGUG
rnacentral:rRNA from 1 species